rnacentral:rRNA from 1 species
CGUAGGUGGCAAGCGUUGUCCGGAUUAUUGGCGUAAGCGAGCGCAGGCGGAAGAAUAAGUCUGAUGUGAAGCCCUCGGCUUAACCGAGGAACUGCAUCGGAACUGUUCUUGAGUGCAGAAGAGGAGAGUGGAACUCCAUGUGUAGCGGUGGAAUGCGUAGAUAUAUGGAAGAACACCAGUGGCGAAGGCGGCUCUCUGGUCUGCAACUGACGCUGAGGCUCGAAAGCAUGGGUAGCGAACAGGAUU